rnacentral:tRNA from 1 species
ACGUCCAUAGCUCAGCUGGAUAGAGCAACAGCCUUCUAAGCUGUGGGUCGCAGGUUCGAAUCCUGCUGGACGUG